rnacentral:rRNA from 1 species
UACGUAGGGCGCAAGCGUUGUCCGAAAUUAUUGGGCGUAAAGAGCUCGUAGGCGGCUUGUCACGUCGGAUGUGAAAGCCCGGGGCUUAACCCCGGGUCUGCAUUCGAUACGGGCUAGCUAGAGUGUGGUAGGGGAGAUCGGAAUUCCCGGUGUAGCGGUGAAAUGCGCAGAUAUCGGGAGGAACACCGGUGGCGAAGGCGGUUCUCUGGGCCUUACCUGACGCUGAGGAGCGAAAGCGUGGGGAGCGAACAGG